GAUGAACGCUGGUGGCAUGCUUAACACAUGCAAGUCGAACGGGAAGUGGUGUUUCCAGUGGCGAACGGGUGAGUAACGCGUAAGAACCUGCCCUUGGGAGGGGAACAACAACUGGGAACGGUUGCUAAUACCCCGUAGGCUGAGGAGCAAAAGGAGAAAUCCGCCCAAGGAGGGGCUCGCGUCUGAUUAGCUAGUUGGUGAGGUAAUAGCUUACCAAGGCGAUGAUCAGUAGCUGGUCCGAGAGGAUGAUCAGCCACACUGGGACUGAGACACGGCCCAGACUCCUACGGGAGGCAGCAGUGGGGAAUUUUCCGCAAUGGGCGAAAGCCUGACGGAGCAAUGCCGCGUGGAGGUGGAAGGCCUACGGGUCGUCAACUUCUUUUCUCGGAGAAGAAACAAUGACGGUAGCUGAGGAAUAAGCAUCGGCUAACUCUGUG
rnacentral:rRNA from 1 species